CCAUUUUUCAGUAUGAUCCCUUGAUACUCUCAAACGAAAUUGUUGGUCAUAAGAAUACCAUUUUUCAACAGGAUGAUCAGCCGCUGCACCCCUUAUUAUUGACAUAUAUGAGAAAAGUUCACUUGCUUUUCCAGGAUACCUUUCAAUAAGGACCUGGGCAUAAGCAAUAAAACAAUCAGUCCAAUCCUCAACAGAAUUAACAGUAUGGUUUUUCCUAACUUUGUUUUGUAUAACCAGCAUACCGUCAUUAAUGCCAAUGGUGUUUUCAUUUGUUUGACUGUUGAAAUUGUUGUGAAUGCAUAAGGGACAAAUCAAUAUAUUCAAAAUUUCUUAAGCUUUUGACUUAUCAAUAAAACAACCUCAUUAAAACCAGGCAAC
rnacentral:lncRNA from 1 species